rnacentral:rRNA from 1 species
UACAGAGGGUGCGAGCGUUGUUCGGAAUUAUUGGGCGUAAAGGGCGCGUAGGCGGUGCGGUAAGUCACCUGUGAAAUCUCCUGGCUCAACUGGGAGCUUGCAGGCGAAACUGCCGUGCUGGAGUGUGGGAGAGGUGCGUGGAAUUCCCGGUGUAGCGGAGAAAUGCGUAGAUAUCGGGAGGAACACCUGUGGCGAAAGCGGCUCACUGGACCACAACUGACGCUGAGGCGCGAAAGCUAGGGGAGCAAACAGG